AUUUCUCUAAUUUAUCCAUUUUUUUCUUUUUAUUACUUUUUGCUCUGCUUAUAGCAUCAACGCGUAAUUUCGUCAAGUCAGUCUCACCUUCUUCAACUUUGAGAACACAAAACGUACACGAUGUGAAUACAAAUAUUUGCGAAUAACUUUCAAGAGCUGGAAAAA
rnacentral:ribozyme from 12 species